AAUUUUAUAGUUUAAAUAAAACAAAGAUUUUGUAAAUCUUUAAUAGAAAAAUUCUUAAAAUUA
rnacentral:tRNA from 1 species